GCCUAGGUAGCUCAUUCGGUUAAGCAUCUGACUUCAGCUCAGGUCAUGAUCUCACGGUUUGUGAGUUCAAGCCCCACGUUGGGCU
rnacentral:tRNA from 1 species